UGCAUCACGAAAGAUGGCGGCCGCGGC
rnacentral:piRNA from 1 species